rnacentral:tRNA from 1 species
AGGAUAUGUGCCCGAAAGAUAGGAAUUACUUUGAUAGAGUAAUUUAUAGAGGUUCAAACCCUCUCGUCUCCUU